rnacentral:rRNA from 1 species
CACGUAGGGGGCGAGCGUUGUCCGGAUUUAUUGGGCGUAAAGAGCUCGUAGGUGGCUCGGUAAGUCGGGUGUGAAAACUCGGGGCUCAACCCCGAGACGCCACUCGAUACUGCUGUGGCUUGAGUCCGGUAGGGGAGCGUGGAAUUCCUGGUGUAGCGGUGAAAUGCGCAGAUAUCAGGAAGAACACCCGUGGCGAAAGCGGCUCUCUGGGACGGUACUGACGCUGAGACGCGAAAGCGUGGGGAGCGAACAGG